rnacentral:rRNA from 1 species
GGUUAAGCUACUAAGAGCACACGGAGGAUGCCUAGGCGCUAGGAGCCGAUGAAGGACGUGGCGAACAACGAAACUGCCUCGGGGAGCUGUAAGCAAGCUUUGAUCCGGGGGUGUCCGAAUGGGGAAACCCAGCUGGGGUAAUUUCCAGUUACUCACAACUGAAUACAUAGGUUGUGUAGAGGCAUACCAGGGGAACUGAAACAUCUAAGUACCCUGAGGAAGAGAAAACAAUAGUGAUUCCGUCAGUAGCGGCGAGCGAACGCGGAGAAGCCCAAACCAGAGAGCUUGCUCUUUGGGGUUGUGGGACGUCUCACAUGGAGUUACAAAGGAACCGGUUAAGCGAAGAGGUCUGGAAAGGCCCGCCAAAGAAGGUAAAAGCCCUGUAGUUGAAAGUCUGUUCCCUCCGAGACGGAUCCCGAGUAGUGCGGGGCACGUGAAACCCCGUAUGAAUCCGGCAGGACCAUCUGCCAAGGCUAAAUACUUCCUAGCGACCGAUAGUGAAGCAGUACCGUGAGGGAAAGGUGAAAAGCACCCCGGAAGGGGAGUGAAAUAGAACCUGAAACCGUGUGCUUACAAAAAGUCAGAGCCCGUUUUAGGGGUGAUGGCGUGCCUUUUGUAGAAUGAACCGGCGAGUUACGUUCCCGUGCAAGGUUAAGGUGAAGAGCCGGAGCCGCAGCGAAAGCGAGUCUGAAUAGGGCGACAUAGUACGUGGACGUAGACCCGAAACCGGGUGAUCUACCCCUGUCCAGGGUGAAGGUGCGGUAACACGCACUGGAGGCCCGAACCCACGCAUGUUG